UACGUAUGGAGCAAGCGUUAUCCGGAUUUACUGGGUGUAAAGGGAGCGUAGGCGGCUCUGUAAGUCUGAUGUGAAAAUUUGGGGCUCAACCCCAAACGUGCAUUGGAAACUGCAGGGCUUGAGUGCCGGAGAGGCAGGCGGAAUUCCUAGUGUAGCGGUGAAAUGCGUAGAUAUUAGGAGGAACACCAGUGGCGAAGGCGGCCUGCUGGACGGUAACUGACGCUGAGGCUCGAAAGCGUGGGGAGCAAACAGG
rnacentral:rRNA from 1 species